GAUGAACGCUGGCGGCGUGCCUAAUACAUGCAAGUCGAGCGAACAGACGAGGAGCUUGCUCCUCUGACGUUAGCGGCGGACGGGUGAGUAACACGUGGAUAACCUACCUAUAAGACUGGGAUAACUUCGGGAAACCGGAGCUAAUACCGGAUAAUAUAUUUAACCGCAUGGUUCAAUAGUGAAAGACGGUUUUGCUGUCACUUAUAGAUGGAUCCGCGCCGCAUUAGCUAGUUGGUAAGGUAACGGCUUACCAAGGCAACGAUGCGUAGCCGACCUGAGAGGGUGAUCGGCCACACUGGAACUGAGACACGGUCCAGACUACUACGGGAGGCAGCAGUAGGGAAUCUUCCGCAAUGGGCGAAAGCCUGACGGAGCAACGCCGCGUGAGUGAUGAAGGUCUUCGGAUCGUAAAACUCUGUUAUUAGGGAAGAACAAAUGUGUAAGUAACUAUGCACGUCUUGACGGUACCUAAUCAGAAAGCCACGGCUAACUACGUG
rnacentral:rRNA from 1 species